rnacentral:lncRNA from 1 species
UACCUUGUCUAACCAGGAUCUUCAAAACAUGGCUUUCCAGUUACAGAAUACCGCCCACUGGUUGGGGCAGAUAAUGCAACAGAGAGGCCUCAACACCCCAGUAAAUACAUUCCCGGUUGUAGAGGAACCUCAGACCAAUGACCCCCAACCUGCACCUGACCGUCUUCAAACCAGCAGCCGCGAUACUGAAGAAAGAGGAAGAAAAGCCGGCGAAGAGGAAGGACCGGAGGCCCGAAUCCAUGCGAGGAGGGCGAGAGAGAUGAUAGAAAAUGAGGAGGUGGAUAACUAUUCCGCCGAAAUAACCGGGUGGACGGGAACUGAAGCAGAGGAGGAGGA